ACGUACACUCCUGCGGGAGGCAGCAGUGGGGAAUUUUGGACAAUGGGCGAAAGCCUGAUCCAGCCAUGCCGCGUGCAGGAUGAAGGCCUUCGGGUUGUAAACUGCUUUUGUACGGAACGAAACGGCCUUUUCUAAUAAAGAGGGCUAAUGACGGUACCGUAAGAAUAAGCACCGGCUAACUACGUGCCAGCAGCCGCGGUAAUACGUAGGGUGCAAGCGUUAAUCGGAAUUACUGGGCGUAAAGCGUGCGCAGGCGGUUAUGUAAGACAGUUGUGAAAUCCCCGGGCUCAACCUGGGAACUGCAUCUGUGACUGCAUAGCUAGAGUACGGUAGAGGGGGAUGGAAUUCCGCGUGUAGCAGUGAGAUGCGUAGAUAUGCGGAGGAACACCGAUGGCGAAGGCAAUCCCCUGGACCUGUACUGACGCUCAUGCACGAAAGCGUGGGGAGCAAACAGGAUUAGAAACCCGAGUAGUCCCAUG
rnacentral:rRNA from 1 species